AAAUCUGAAAUAACUGGAAAAAUAUGAACACCGCUCAACAAAUUCAAGAUUUUCUAUGAAUUCGAUGCACUGUUGAUAAUUUAUUGAAGCAGCAUUCAAGCAAUUCAUAUCCCACAAAAUAACUGUAUAUUUUACAUUCCAGGCAGUAUUGAAUCGCCUUUGCGAUUCUCCAAAAUUAUUAUUUGCUCCACAACAAAGCCCCGAACAAAAAAGGGGAACAAGAACACCUUGAGACUCAUUACCUAGUCGAGGUUGUUCCCAUUUUGAGAAUGACAACAUAAAUAGACACAAGCAGCUCCAAAAUUUGGGCAGGGGUGCAAAUUAUUGUUUAAAUGAGAGGUUUUGUUUUUUUGUUUUUUUGUUUUUUGUUUUUUGUUUUUCUCUUUUUUAUUCAAAAACUAGCUAGCAGAAAGAGUAAGGUGUUCUCGGAUCUUUGAGGGGGUAUAAAUCGCUUAUUGAAAAUGAAAAUGGCAGGCAAAGGAUGACAUUAUGAACACAGGUGAACAUAGGUAGAGGGGCUUGCACCCGAAAUGGAGUGUUGACUGUUGGGUUCAUGAAAAUUAAUAUACAAGGACCAUGAAAUGGCUUCUUGUGUUCAGUUUGAUGUAUGAACCUCACCUCCAAUACCCUGCCCCGACUGCUGAAUGCUAGAAUGAGAAACAGGGCCACUUUGUGAAUAUAUUGAACCAACUGAAGCACCUGUACUGCUUAUAGACGACAUUUGGGGUGAUGGAGAGUCUCCUCUGUAUCCAGCAAUAACCUCGGGUCUCAAGUCUGAUGAUGACGAUGAUGAUGGAGCCAAAGUUGCAAUACUAGAUCCCACAGGAUAUGGAGCAACAGGCAUAUCAGUUAGAGAAGAUGCAGAUGGACUGCUGCUCAGCUUCUUCAUGGGGUGAUCGAAUCUGCACAAGGGUCCAAACUGGCAUACUGCAUUCUGUGAAUAGCUAAUGCAAACUGGAGCACCCUGAAAAAUAAUUAAAAGACACUAUCAUAACAUCCAAGAAUACAACAAAAAAUGCUGUCAUAUGAUUCUCAUAUUUAUACAGAAUAGUAAUCAUAUAAAUACUACUUACUGAAAAGAAAUAGCGCGCAAAUAAAAAUAGGGAAAUGCAAAUUGAAAUUCAUGUAGUUACCUCCACAUCAUUUGGAAAUAACCCACCUUUUGUCGUUUUCAACACACUACUGAUUAACCAACCCAACUCCUAACCCUUCCAUUCUACCCCUUUAACUUAACCUAAUUAUGUCUACAUUGACCAUAUGGAAUAAGUGAUGCCUUCUUACAAUGUCAUUGUGUCAUCUUCAUAUUAAAAAUAUAGUCCUUGUUUCCUAAAAGGUUACUAAUAAUUUCAUUUUUUUUUAUCAAGUCAAAGUCAAACAUUAAUUUCAACUACACAUUCCUAACUACUGCACAUUUAUUAUCCACAUAUUUUUAUGGGACCCACAACUAUUCCUACUAAAACAUUACUAAUAGUUUUACAUGAACAGGGCUAUACUAUCGUUUUACAUAAACAAAAUUAAGACCAUUAGGCAAUGUUAAUAUAGAAAUUAAGUAAAGGGCAACGGUUUUGGAAAAAACAAAUGUUACCGGACAAUUUUCAAACCACAAGGGGAUAAUUAAAAGGAAGUCAAAUCACGUGAUGAUAAAUUGCUAUUUUCCACAACAAAAUAUAAUUACAUAGAUUGUCCAUGAGUGUAGAUUCAAGAUGAUAAUAUUUUGAUAAUCAGAAAAUUUUUAACCAACGGCAUUAUAAAAAUAUAGAGUAAAAAUCUAAUUUAAUCAUUACAAUCUGAUGUACUCAUGCACACAUCAUGAAAUAAAAAGGAAGAAAUGCUGUGCUCCAAUUUCAAAGAGUAGCAUAAGGUAUACUAAAAGCUACCAAUCAUUGAGUCCAUCAUACCAGAGGGCACCUCCACCUACAUGCUUAAAUAUAUUGUCAGUGUCAUAGAUGGUAAAAAAAAUGUAGAAUAACUAGAGGUAAAAGGAAGGCAGCGUUCCCAGUAUGAGAUAGUUAUGAGAAGAAAGAAUGACAUCCCUCUGGCAGAAUCUAAUGAACUUUACUGCUAAGGUAUCAUCCAAGGCUUAAAUUCUGUUUUUCAAUCUCAAGGAGAUGAACAGAAUCUGAUUCCAUGGUACUGGCACAACUCCAACCCCACCCCCACCCCCACCUCACAAAAGAAAAGAAAGUAGUCAAAAACAUAUGAAAAAGAAAGAAAAGAGAAGAUCCCACAAAAUUAUAUGCCAUCAAUAUCUCUUGACUAAAGUUUAACUGAGAAGGUCUACUAUUUAACGAAGUAAAGAAAUGUAAAGAAAUGUGUACUGUUAAUUAUUUCUAUAUAUAUAUAUAUCAAAGAGGCAGACCGGUCGCAAUGGAUAUCCAUAAUAAUUCAGGGUCAGCGAGCCUGAAGAUCCACCUUCCUGUUUUGGAUGGUGAUAUUUGCAGGAAGCACCAUAUUUACACAUUCCUGUCCGCAUAUAGUACUACAAGUUCAGCACCAAGAGAACAGUUAGUAUGAAAAGGCCUAAAUGAUAGAAAGAUAAUGAAAUUCUCAGUAAGACAGACAAAUUAACACACAUUAGUAGGAGUUACAACAUCAAUGAACAGAUAACUAAAGAGUAAAGUGCAUUUUGAAGAUGUAUAUUUUUUUAGUUCCAACCGUUUGACAUCUCUUCAAAGUUUAUGCAGAACACAGUAGCUUUUCCUCAGAUAAAUAGCACUUCUAACAUUGUUAAGAUUAAGAUUGAGAUUAGCUUUUCAUUUUAUUUUCAAUUCCUGUUUCUUACUAGAGGUAUGAAGAAUUUGAGAGCUCACUCUAAAUAUUAAAAAAAUAAAAAAUGAUGAGUUAUAGGAGUCAAAAUCUAUCUAGCACCUACGCUGCCUCUAUCAAAAGUUAUAGAAAACAAAAGUCCAAACUUUUGAAUAUAAAAAGAUAGCUAAGCACAAUCAUUGAGGAGGCAGAUCCAUAUUAUAGAAACAUUAUAAUAAUAAUAAUUCCUGUUUAUAUAAUCUGCACAACAAUGAUGUAAACUACAAAGAAAGAAGGAAGACAUAUUCAAGAAACAAGGUCAGGCUUCUAAAAUAAAUAUGAAUUACCUUACGAUAACCCUAAACAUAGUCAAUCUGAAAGAUAUGAGUAUAUGAACUUGCUUUUAUAUAAUGUAUAUCUAUAAUAAAGAAACGACGAUUCCUGAUCAACAUAAAACAAACUGAAUCUUUCAUAAGAGACACAAGUUGACAAAUCCAAAUGCAUUCUUAAUGAUAAAGCACUAUACAAACUUUUGAGGUUCUAAGGUUAAUCAGCUUGAAAAUAAUAGAAAGAGGUCACAACAAAUUCAUAAAGAAUAGAUCCAUUAAAUUCUGUAAGGAUACAGUAAUUGCCAGAGGACAUAAAAAAAAUGAAAGCAAUUUAAGAUGCUCUAAUCUAUGGAUUCAAAGGAUAGGUAAAGAUGAAAUCAUCAACACGAUACAGACAAUCAUAACACAGAAAGAGGGAAACUGCAAACAUUUUUAAGACCCAGAAGUUGUAGAAUAUUGCAAAGUAGGAAACUAAUUGUCGGUGUUCAAAUAGAGUAGCAGAAUACACAUUAUGAAAAGGACGAAUUGAAAAAGAUAACCAGCAUGGAAAUGUUACCAAUACAAGAGGCUGCAAACCCUGAACAAUACCUUACCCAUUUCAAUAUACUGAUCAUCCAAGAGAAAAAGAGAAUGGUUUAUCAAUGAAGCUGUUUGUAUCUGGAUUUAGAAAUUAGACAUGAAAUUUUUUUUAUGGUGGAAUCUAGCAGAGGUAUUUCUAAUUUCUAACAUCAAUCAUGGAAAAUAUAUUGCAAAUUUUUUGGUUAUAUGCAGUUGACAGAUUCAUACGGAGGCAUUUAAUACAUAGCAGAAUCAACAUCAAACAAGGUAUUAUCAUAAAUAUCAAACUAGGAAUCUAGAGGGAACAAAAGGACAAUUUCAGACAGUAUGCAGACGAAUUAUUUGCAUCCUUGGAUCAACGAAAAAAGCUCAAUCUACAAAACAGUAAACAGAUGAACUGCUUGAGUAGAAUAAUCUAAUAAAUGUACUUUCUCCAGUAUUAAACAAUGAACAGAUGGAUUAAUCAUAACAUACAAAAAUCUAGCCAAAUAAAAUUCCAUAAUAUCACCUAAUUAAUAAAAUCUUCAACUUCAGAAAGUAUAACGGGCAUUUAUAUUUUUCGUUUAUAUUCUUAUCAUUAAUUUAUUCAAUAUCUCUAAGAGCUUUGAAUGCAAAUGGAUAUCUGGCAAAGAGUAUCUUUUUCAAAAAAAAAACACACAAACGUAUAUUUCUUGUCUUAAGACAAAAUUGCAUGCAAAUGGAUUGAUACCUGGCAUCGAGUAUCCUUUUUACGCAACAAACACAUACACGUAUAGCUCUGUUUACAAAAUUAAUUUCAUGCAAAUGCAUACCUGGCAGACUGGUUGACCAACACGUUCUGGGUAAUCACCACCACUAGCCAUCAAUGCUCUCAUCACCUGUAUUGAAACACAAUUGAAUUCUAUCAAUCCAUCUUACUGCAUCAAAACCAUCGCAAUGCCAUUUUUUUAUUUUUUAUUUUUCAAUUUAGUAUAUCUUUUCUUGCGAAAACCAUUAUGAACUCAAAUAAAACUCAAAAAGAUUAAUUUUUAUAUAUAUUAAAAUCAAAUCUACACAAAACCCCCACUAAAAAAUGGAAUAAAUUCACAGUAAUUAGCACAAUCCAACACUACACGAUCACACGAAUCCUGCCACAAAAAGUCAAAGUUGAGCCCUAAAGAUCAAAUUUUGACACACGAAAUUUGAGAAAUUUUACCACACUCCUGUCACGGGGAUGAUUGAAACGACAGCGAGCACCGUACCCACAGAAUCCAGUCUUCAAGUAAUAACCACAAUCCGGCUCACCCGGCCUCUCCGGGUACGACUCGGGCUCAACCCCAAGACCCAGCUGCCACAUAGGCUCUGCAUUUACAAAAUCAAACCUCAAAUCAAUUAAAUUUCACUCUGCAUUACAAAAUCCAAUUCUAGUCAGGCGAAAUUCAACCUACACUGACCUUCAAGCCCGGUUUCACCACCGGGAGCGCCCCAUUCCACCAUCGGAUCCACUGGUGCCCCCUCCAUUGCCUCGGUCCCGCUGUACCUCUCAAUUCUUUUACAACUAUACACACUAUAAUACAAUACACCUAUAUAUAGAUAUCAGUCUUUACAAGCCAUCAAUGGCAUACAGAAGUGAGAUUCUGCGAGUAAAUUUCAUAGAUGUGAGGAGUGAGGUGGGGUGCGGUGGGAGAGGGGAGAGUAAUUCAGCAGAGGUAACUACAAACAAACCCCAGUAUUUGUGUAUAUUUUCUAACGAAAAUGAUUACAAUUUACCCUUUUUAAAACAGAAAGUCUCAACCAACUAUAAGAAAAACGUAUAGCGACUUUUAAUAGAGGAAAUAAACGUGUUUUCCUUCCAUUGUUUUGUCUGUAUGUACACGGUACAACCCCAUCUUACUGUGUGCUGCGCUCUGUUUACAAAAUUAAUUUCAUGCAAAUGCAUACCUGGCAGACUGGUUGACCAACACGUUCUGGGUAAUCACCACCACUAGCCAUCAAUGCUCUCAUCACCUGUAUUGAAACACAAUUGAAUUCUAUCAAUCCAUCUUACUGCAUCAAAACCAUCGCAAUGCCAUUUUUUUAUUUUUUAUUUUUCAAUUUAGUAUAUCUUUUCUUGCGAAAACCAUUAUGAACUCAAAUAAAACUCAAAAAGAUUAAUUUUUAUAUAUAUUAAAAUCAAAUCUACACAAAACCCCCACUAAAAAAUGGAAUAAAUUCACAGUAAUUAGCACAAUCCAACACUACACGAUCACACGAAUCCUGCCACAAAAAGUCAAAGUUGAGCCCUAAAGAUCAAAUUUUGACACACGAAAUUUGAGAAAUUUUACCACACUCCUGUCACGGGGAUGAUUGAAACGACAGCGAGCACCGUACCCACAGAAUCCAGUCUUCAAGUAAUAACCACAAUCCGGCUCACCCGGCCUCUCCGGGUACGACUCGGGCUCAACCCCAAGACCCAGCUGCCACAUAGGCUCUGCAUUUACAAAAUCAAACCUCAAAUCAAUUAAAUUUCACUCUGCAUUACAAAAUCCAAUUCUAGUCAGGCGAAAUUCAACCUACACUGACCUUCAAGCCCGGUUUCACCACCGGGAGCGCCCCAUUCCACCAUCGGAUCCACUGGUGCCCCCUCCAUUGCCUCGGUCCCGCUGUACCUCUCAAUUCUUUUACAACUAUACACACUAUAAUACAAUACACCUAUAUAUAGAUAUCAGUCUUUACAAGCCAUCAAUGGCAUACAGAAGUGAGAUUCUGCGAGUAAAUUUCAUAGAUGUGAGGAGUGAGGUGGGGUGCGGUGGGAGAGGGGAGAGUAAUUCAGCAGAGGUAACUACAAACAAACCCCAGUAUUUGUGUAUAUUUUCUAACGAAAAUGAUUACAAUUUACCCUUUUUAAAACAGAAAGUCUCAACCAACUAUAAGAAAAACGUAUAGCGACUUUUAAUAGAGGAAAUAAACGUGUUUUCCUUCCAUUGUUUUGUCUGUAUGUACACGGUACAACCCCAUCUUACUGUGUGCUGCCUUUAUGUGUGUGUGAUAUUUUUCACUCUUAUUAAUAUUAUUAUUAUUAUUAUAUAUAUUUAUUAUUAUUAUUUUUUUUUUUUUAUGGGUUUCUAACGUGGGAAAAAUGAUAUAGGUGUUUUUACCUGUUUCAACUAGGAGCCAACUAGAGUUGGCAAUGGGUGCAAGCCGCUUCUCGACUCACCAGCACGACACAUGCAGCUUGCUCUUACCUCUGAAGUGAGUGUUGUCGGGUCAAAAUUUUUUUGUACGAGCCACUCGUCGACUCACAAGUCCAUUAAUAAGUGGCCAAUUUCACGUACUAACAAGUUGAUCUUGCAAGCAGCUCAACAUAAAAAUUGCAAGGCAUCGAUUUGAUGGCACCAGUCGUAAGUACCAUCAAUUCAAAUUCAAGCAAUCGUUGACUGCCUAAAUUUGAAAAUUAAGUUUAGAUUUUUUCCUUAUGUUUCCGUCUAUGAAUUGGGAUUUGUCAAACUAUUUCUUCACACUUUUCUACUGUAUUCCAAAAUUUUGUAUACCACUCUCCAGCAGUAUAAUUUGUAAAAGUUCUUCACUUUUUCAUUUUCAUUGCUCUUCUCAAUUCUUUCUAAUAAACAAUGUUUUUUUCCUAUAUUUUUUACCAUAUUUCGAAAGGUAAUGCUAUGGACACAAUGGGGUGCUAAACACUUUUUAGGUGCCAUAAAUUGAUGGGACACGUCACACUUUAAAUGUAGUACAUAUUCAUACUUCAAAGUAUUGUAUCAAUUAGUGAAUUAAGACUUGUGUUCUAUAUUAGUUUCGCAACAUUUUAUUAAUCUAUUUCGAAUGAAUUACAAUAGAUAUGCUAAUAAUGAUGAGGGUUUUAUCAUAUUUCUCAGUAUUUUCUAAUAUUUCAAUCGAUGAUUGUGUGUGUGUGUGUGUAUAUAUAUAUAUAUAUAUGCAACUUAUCCCCUAUUACGCGAGCUGCUAAGACAAAUCGAGCUCAAGGAUGAAUGCCUGUGCCGGCUCGACUCAACACACUGCCCACACUAGGGCCAACGAGCUACAUUAGUAAUUCAAUAGAUUUAUAAGACAAAAUAUUGAACUUUCUAAGACCAAUUUACUACGUAAGUUAACAUGCAAAAAUUCACAUGAAGGGUGUUGCAUUCUCAUGUUGCAAUAAGAAAUUAUUAUUAUGUGGGACUAUAUUACUUUGAGUGCUUCUUUGAGUGAGACGAGAUUCAUAGUAAAACUAUCAUCUUCAACCUUUUUGGAUUAUAUUCAUGACUUUUACUUAUUGAAACAAAACUCACCGAAGAUAGAAAGUUCAUAAUAUCUUGACAACAUAGGGGAUAUCUUCAUAAUUAUUAAUUUAUUAAUUGAUUGAUUACUAAUAUACUAUGAAUUUAAUAUGUUUUUCGUGGUACUAUGGACAUUAAUUUUUCAAGAUUGUAUGCUAUCAUUCUUUCUUAAACGUAUUCGGUCAUAUCAAAUUUAUUACACUAACAUAAAUAAUUUUUGUUUACUUAUUCAAAUCCAUGAGGCAACUCAAUAUGAAGGCUAAAAUUUAGAAUUUUCAUGUGACAUAAAGUGUAAAAUUUGUUAGAAAAUUGUUCAAAUAAAAAGUGAUAAUAAAAGUUUAAAUAGGUCACUAUAAACUUUGAAAGGAGUUUUGGACUUAAACGUAAACUUAAAGAAAGUUUGUGGUUUUGAGGAACAAAUUUGAAGAUGACAAACAUGUAAACUUGAAUUAAAAUAUUUAUACAAUGUAAUUUCUGGUUCAAAAUUUACGUGCCCUUUCGAGAACAGUCACUUCUUUUAUGAAUUAUUAUCGCGAAUUAGUGUCAUUAAACGAUAAAUAUGUGAUUAGGGAUCAAUUUUAAGCACCUCUUAACAUGAAAACAUAUCCUCUUUCUUCCUAAGUAACCUUAAAAUUUCAUGAAUAAUUUUAAAGUGAUCGAGUUACUUUCAAGAGUUAUUCACUUUUGCCGAUGUUCAAGUUUAGUGUUGUGUUCUCGCGUUCGAUAUUCGAGUUUCCAUUUCCAACUCUCUCAAACCUAUUUCAACAAAAUGUACCCAUAAAUGUUGACAAAAGAUCAUACCCAUUCUCAUCUAACUAAUUAGUUAAUACUGAUUAAUACUCAUUUGUCAUUGUACUUGUUUCAAUUUUGAACUCAAUUUCUAACUUCAGAUACAACAAAAGGUGAUAUUGUUCAUGUUUUUGACUUGCAAAUUACUGAAUGCAUUGCUUACAGGAUAUUCUUAAUCCCCCGAUACUUACACAAUAUGCACAGAAAGUCGUAAAUCUAGGAAAAAGACACACAUUUGAUCCUGUCCUGUAUUUGUUUACUCCACUUGAUUCUAUAUUUUCCAAUUUUGGUUCCAGGAAAAGAGAGAUCUGAUUUUCUUGUAGUAUGAACAAGGUAAAUUAGCCCGGCUUUGUUUAGCCAGACACUGUGGGUCAUGCUGCAAGUUGGGCCAUCUGGAGAGGGGGAACUCGGUCGGUCUCUUAGUGAUAAAUUCGUGUGUAUAUCAAUCAUCACAUUCAAAAUUGACUAGUAAAAGAACAGUGAUUAUCCAAAUUCUUAAAUUAUAGAUCUCUGAGUGAGUCAAAUCUUAGCUACGCGAGACUCAGGGUCAUUGAUGGCUAACAAUUCAGUUGAUUUGCAACAAGAAUCAUAUCCAUCUCUAAUUGCCACUGCUGUAAUGAACAAUAUUGAUAUGUCCAUUCUUUGUUUUCUCUGGCGACGGCGAUCCUUGCAGGUGGUUUCUUACCAGAUGUGCAUUUAAGACCAAUAUUUCUCACACGUUAGGUCGUGAUGAGAGGAAAGGAAAAGAGGAGAAGGGGCAGAGACAUAGUCGAGGGAUGCAAUUCGAUGGGACAGUAACUUACAUAGAAAAAAAAUUUAGAAUAACAAAUAUUUUUGAUAUACUGCAAAACUAGUUUAUUUUGAAAUCACAGUAUAAUGUGCUCCCAAUAUUAUUUUUAACGUCUUUUUGUACUGCCUGCUAUUCAGCAUCUCAUGGUAAAGAUUUUAUCGACUGAAAAUUCUCUGAAUCAAAACAUUUAUACACAGAUUGAUAAAGUUUUAAGAUUUGAUUUUAGGGCCAAAACAAGACCAACUGUUAACAGCUCCAAGACUUUCUUUCCACAAAAAUGGCAGCUAUAUUGACCACAGAGCCCUGGGUUAUAACAGCUAGAGGGGAAACCAGAAAAUCCAGGAAAACCCCAAAUAUUACAAUUUACAUCACUAAUUCUUCAGCAUAUUGACCUAAGAAACCAGGGCAUUCAAGGCCAAUCCAAUUGUAUUUACAAAAGAAUAGAGAUCAGAUGGCAUAAAAUAUGACUUUCAUCAGGCCUUGGUUUAGUAAUUUGGUGCCACGAUGAAAUAUGCAGUUGUCAGCUUUCUCAAAGCCCCAAGAGAAACCUAAAAAUAUCGCUUAGCGAAACAAUGCCUUCUACGCGCUUGCUUCCAGCCUCCACAAUAAUGAGCCGUCUGACACCUGAAAAACAAAUAGGGUUGAAAAGCAAUUAGCUUUUGCUUUCUGUCCUUCUGUUCAAAUGUGUUAGUCUUUCUAAUGGAAUAUAUAUGACAAUCUGAUGUCACAUCAAAAUUGAGAUUUCCAGGAGUGACCAAAUUGGAACACCCUCUUUGGAACAAAAUAAAGUUUAGCGACCAACAUGAAACUUCACUAAAAAUUGAGUUGCUAAAAGUGUUUUUUCCCUAAAUGAAGCAUGAACUGUUCAUGCAUUGUGAGAAAUUGACCAAAAGAUACAGUUGAUUGUCAAGAAUAGCACAAACAAGAAAAUCCAACAAUGAAGGGUGCGUUUGAUUACAAGUAGGAAAAUUAUAUGGAAAGAAAAUGAAUUCCAGGGAAUUGAAUUACCUAGAAAUUGUUUUCAUGAAAAUUGUAAAUUAUUGUGUUUGAUUGUAUAAAUUUUUCAUGUGAAAAAUGUUGAAGUAAAAGUAUUUUUUGAUGUUCGUUUGACUUUGUUUUACGUGAAAAUUGUCAAUUUCAGGGAUAUCCUCUUUUACAAUUAUUCCUAAAAUUUGUUCCCAUUGCCAACAAUUAAAAAAAAAUAAAAAAAGCAAAAAAAAUAAAAUAAAAAUAAGGUGGAAAACCAAAAACCACCUAUCCCCUAGGAAAAAAAGGUGGAAAAUCACGCUUUAAAGUGUUGUACCUAGAAAUUCAUGGAAAAUCAAUUCCCUGGAAAAUUUUGUCAAUCAAACAGACCAAAAGUGGAAGUUGGAAUUCGAAUUCCAAGUUCCAUGGAAAAUUUCGUGUAAUCAAACGGGACCGAAGUGAAUGAACUAAGCAUUAUGUGUGAUGCUUAACCUUCAGUGAGCUACUACAUAUGUACACUCUUGCCCAAGAAGGAACAUAUUGCCAACGACAAAGACGAUUAUUUUGAAAAACAAAAGGAGAAGAAAAGUUUAACCUGGCUUGGAUAAUUUCUCCAUAACUUUAAAUAGGGGAUCGGAUCUCAAGCUCAUGUAACAUCUUUGAAUGCUGUUUCCAUUAGUUGAAUGAGGGUCAUCUCCAAGCUGCAAUGCCUGAAAUUCAAAGUGGUCAGUAGCUCAGGGACAAAUAUCAAGUAUGUUGUUUAUGUCUAAUUUGGAUUAGUAGAUAAGGGUAUCAAAUAUAUCCAAACACUGCGUUGCCAUAAAGCGAAUAUUUAAAAGUCCAUUGAUGUUGUAUCACAUAUGCAACACAAUCAAUAUGCUCACCUGAUGAAUAGUUAUUUCAUCAAGAUUAAUGUGCACGUAAUUUUUAUUCUUUGCCAAAGCAGUGAUACCGCUGUCAAAAUGGUGAAAUAAGCUCAUACUAUGAAAAGUGACUGGCGCAGAUCAGAAAGUCAUAAAACAAAAUUUCCCAUGUAUCAUAACUGCAAUGCUAACCUUCGAGAAUAAACAUCCAACAAUGAAUCAUUUUCAUCAACAAUGGGAAUUGAACUUACUCGAGCUGCAAAGAAGCCAGACAUAAGUUAUAUAUAUAUAUAUAUAUAAAAGAAAAUUUUAUUUCUAAAUCUAAAUGCUUCAUAAACAAACACUAGGAAGUGGUUACUGUUUGAAGCAAUGUCUUAGAAUGAUGCCUACAUAUACAAUACCUUUGAUCAACAAGGUGUACCUAGAGAGCAGUGAAUUCAGAAAUAAUAUAUUGAAACAAAUUCAAGAAAAUGCCAGCAGUUAUCAUCAAUUUCUGGAAAAGGUAUUAGAGAAUCCAACUCUUCAAUGAACUAAAUGCAUACCUUGAACUAACAAAUUCAGUGCUGCACUAAGGGAAUCACUCGACCUCAACACAGCCAAUGGCCGAACAUUUGGUUCUCCAAUUCUGGGAACCCAAGUUCCAACUGGGAUUGCACAAAUUGGCAUUUGAAGUGCUGGUAAUGACCCUGGUGAGUGCGUGAAAUACCGACAAAGACCUGUAAAAAGGCAGAAUUGUGAAGAUAAAAUGCAUCACUUUUGGCCCACAUAUACACACGUUUAUACAGUUUUUCUUUCCUAAAGCAUGACUUUCAAUUCCCCAAUUUUAAAGAACAAAGACAGAAAAAACUAGUACUUUCAAUCCACAAGGCUAGACUGCAUUAGAAUUCCACUGACUGCACAAUGACCCAAAAAACAGGCAUUGGAGUUAUCCCGACAGCCAACAGGACAAAUGUUACCCAACUUUUUUCCCAAAUUCUAAUCGGUGUAUCGGUUCCAAAAGUAAACAGCAUUAUCCUGCCGGAGAAAGCAAAUAACGUUACCAGACCGAAAUCUUCUUUCUUUCCUUUUUUCUAUCUUGUAUUUUCCUCUUUUCUGCUUUAGAUCCGUUCUCCAACUUCGAAGAAGUGGAUGGCAACAUGAGACUAAGAAAAAUGGUAGGGCACUAUCCUCCUCCUCUCCUCUCUAGCAUAGGAUAGCAAAAACCGUUCUCAAUAUACAUAUAAACAAAUUUGUGUGUGCUUUUCUCACAUUUUAGUACUCCAGAUAGAGAAGCUAGAUGUAGUAGCUGCGGGCAUGAUCCAUCCUCUGAAGGUGAAUGAAUUAUAGGAACUGUAGCCACACCGUUUUGCAAAAUUUUCAAUGCAACUUCUUUGAUAUUAUCAUCUGGCCCAGCCUGAAUAAUAAUACAAUGUAUGUUGAUCAAGAUCAAAAGUCACACUAAAAUGUAACAAAUUUGACAAGAACCUGGAGACAUGGCUAAUAUGAGAUAUGACUGUGAUACAGAAUUUGUCGCAAAAUAAAGAAAAACUACUUUUUUCGACCAGAAUAAGCACGGGUGACAUGCCCAGUCAUUAAAUCUCGUUUUUGACCCACCAACUCAACAUCCAUCCUCUUCAUAAUCUAUAAUCAACUGAGAUAUUCUAAAUGCAUAAAUACUUGAGGCAAAAAAAAGAAUAAACAUAAUAUGGUCUCAUGUAUAGUGGCCAACCAAGCAUCUUCAGUCAUCAUCAGGAUGUAAAAGUCAAAACCAGUUAAAAAUAAAAUUUCAAUGUUGAGGCUCGACAAAUAGAAUCAACACUUACGUGCACAAGACGUCUUGAAACUGCAACCUGUUGUUCAGUAAGCUGUCUGUUCAGAUAUGUUUUUGCUUCUUUCCAAGCAGAUAUUGUAUUUGUGUCAAGUUCUUCCUCCGUCAAAUUUGAACCACGAUUUCCAAGCUGCCAUAUGCAUCAAAGGGAAUCAGGAAAACCACAGUUUUAAGUCUAUAUGUAUGUCCAAAAACUGGUACAAGAUCAUAUAGGAACCCGAAAAAGUAUGGUUAUAAAAGUACCUUUAACCCCAACCCUUCCUGCAUUUUUAAAUAUUAGUGAAGAUGAAGUGUCAUAAUUAAAAGAGAAUUUAAAAAAAAAAAAAGAUUUUCGUGUUUAUCCAUAUUUUCAAAUCCCAGACAAUCACAGCAUCAUUUAGAGUUCCAGAACACUCUCUAACAUAUCUAUUUUCCCUUCCAGCUUAGAAUGAAGAAAAAUAAGAAACUAGAUCACUAUGGUCGUAAGGUUACAGAAUAUAUCAAAGGGAAAAGUUUUUCCUUCAAGGAAAACAAAUCAGUAACAAAACCAUGAGUUUAUCAAUAAAAAGUAAUCGAAGCUUGUGUGCAAGAAACUCUCAUUAGUCAUUAAAAAAGUAAGAAUGAAACAAAACCAAAGGACAAAAUGGUUAACAAAGCUAGUAUUCAGUAUCUAGGUUCCAAAAAAUUGAAAAAGGACUUACAUACCUCCCUCAUAAUUAAAAUAAAAUCCAGUGCACUAAGAACUCCAACAAACUUCCCCUUGCUGAAGUCCCAUAAAGGGGCCAUAGGUAUUCCCUUGAAAAAAAAAAAAAAAAAAAUCACUCAAAAGAGGCGGAUGUAAAUGAGGUAUCCAAAGUAAAUGCACAAAAAUAUCAAGAAGAAUGGAUGAAUGACAGAUACAGUUUAAAACGCUAUUUCCUAGGAGGUAGGAUAGCUUAAAGAACGGGAAAUUUAACAAAUACUGCAUUGUGGAUUCUUAGUUGCGUUGAGGAACACAUAAGAGAAAUACAGCACCAUAUGCAUACCAAAAAUAAACUUGUAAUUUUGUUGACAUCAUCACAACAGUCAGACAACAAGGUCAGAAACUCAAAGAACAGCAAAUUGUAAUGGUCUUACAAUACCUUAGUUUGAAAUUGUUUUUCAUAUUCUUGUUCCGUCUCAAAUUGCACAUUUGUAACCAAACUAACAAAAAUAGCCGCAGACAUUUCUUUUUAUUUAUGACAACCAAAUAUCGCUUUUUGUUAAAUGAUUGAAUUUUAAGAUUCAUCCAGAAAGUUCUACAAGAGUAACGAAGCUGAGGAACCAGCCUGACACUGUAAUUAGACCCACAACACUUGGUAAUAUAUUUCUCAUAUCCAUAGCGAAAUUUGUGAUAACUUCAAUCCUCAAAUAAAUAAUAAAAAUACCUGAUCGUGCAGAAUAUGAAAUGCUUGCUUCACAGGUAGGUCAACAUCCAAAGCAAUUACCUGUAAUUCGAAUGUAAUUACAUCAUGAAAAUUCCAAAUUACAAAAAAAAAAAAAAAGAAGAAGAAGAAAAAAAAAAAAAAAAAGAACAAUAGAGGGAUGUCCAUGUGAAAAAUGGAUGGAGAAGCAUAAUUUGUCCUGACCUUGCCUGAUUCCGGAAGCAACUCAUAAGCCAGGUGUGUGGACAUGAAUACAGCUAUACGAUGUCGUGACAUCUGUAAAUCAUCUUCUGAAAUUCUACAAAAUGGCUCAUGCAAUGUACCUUCUGAUACUUGGACCUGUAACAGAUAGAAAGACACUCUAAAAGAUGUGAACUAAGGUAGAUGGAUCUAAAAUAAGGAAGACAACCAAAUACCACAAGCAUAGUUAUGAGACCCGGCCAAAGACCAGGUCAAUGGUUCAUUGGUUCUAUCUGGUAAAAAAAAGAAUGAUAUUUUUUCUAUUUUUUUAAAAGGCAUAGAUGUAAUCAAAAGUUUAAAAGUCAAAACGGAUACUAAUAAAAAAUCAUUUAGUAAUUGGAAUAUUAUAAAUUCUCAAAUUUUCUAUUUUUCAAAAAUUAAAUCUAAAAUCUGUAAGCUUUUCAUAUAUGCUUAAAUUAUAUAGUUGUAUCAAUAUUAUUUUUUAGUCUUUCAUUCUAAGAAGCACGGACACGAGGACACAUCACAUAAUUGUUCAAAAGAGGACACGGACUUGUGAAGAACACGUCAAUUUGUUCUUGGAUUUUGUUGAUGAAAUUUUUUAAAUUGGAUGAGUAGCUAUUUGUUACAUUAAAAUAACUUCGAGCUAAACUACAUGAUAACACUGCCACUGCAAAAUAAAGAAAAAUGUAUAAUUGCAAAAAUAUUUGACAGGAAGUUCAUAGAACUUUUCUCACAUAAUUUUGACUUAUUUAGACAGGUACAACAAUAUAGAAUACGCUGCAUGGCAUGUUGCGUACAUGCCAGAGAUGUCCCUAAAUUGUCCAGAGCAUCAGAAGUUUAAAAAAUAUAUAGAAAAUGACACACCACGUGUUGUGUUGGAUAUGAGGAGUGUUGAUUUCAACACGAUAAGACACAUGUUGGACAAAAGCGCACGCCAGCCUAAUAUGAUUGUCUGUGCUUCAUAGCUUUCAUUUCCUAUUCUUCAUGAAACUUUGUUCAUAAUGGUUUAUGUAAGACAUAAAAUCUAAAAUACUCUAAACUAUUGUUUGGUUUAGAUAAAAAUCAGAUAUUCAGUAGAUUUGAUGAAGUUAAUGAAAUGUGUAGUUAAAAAGUUGAUAAAAGUUGUGAGUCAUAUGAAAUGUAUGGUUAAAAAUGAGUUUCAUAAAAUGGGGGCCAAACAAGGACUAAAUAAACAAUAACCUCAAAUAAGCUUCACGUGUUUAUACAUUAUUGUAGAUGGUAUUUUAUAAACCAAUGGGGCAGUCUAGCGGAACACCUCAGCUUAAGGAAGCUGAGGUUUUGGAUCCGAAACUUGGCACUCCAUUUUGAAAAUUUUAAAGGACUGGUGGGUUUGGUCAAACGGGUUAACGGGUUUCCUCCUUAACCUGGCCGGUGCAGACGGGUCAAGGGCAGUUCACUUACCAAGUGGCCCUAAUAUGCUGACCUGACAAGACAAGGAUUCAGUUCGCCAGUUUACUGGCCUGUCGGACAAGCCAGUCAGGUCCAGGCUUAAUAACUAUGACCCAAAAUAGAAAACUUGCAAAUCUAAAAUCUUCAAUCACUUCAGACUAUUAUAGAAUAAGUAGGAUUCAUCCUAGGCAACGAACAACACACACGGAAGCUAAAUUAAGUCGCCUAGAUACUUUUGUUUGACCAAAAAAGUGUUUCUUGGGACGGAACAAGCAAUGAUUGUAUUGGGCAUCCAAAGCCUAUAGUUUUUGUCCAGCCAGUUAUUUUGUAUCAGAUCAAAUCAUAAAGCACAUGGGCAAAAAUGGAGUACCAGGUAACAUUUCUGAAAGAAAAUGUAUGAAAACACUAAUGACAUACCACACGCUGAAGGGCUGCAUUAUCAACAUCCAUGCUAGAACCAGAAGGCAUUUGCUGACUUACAAUUGCCCGAAGGUAAUCGCAUUCCCUGGCUAAAAGGACAGUGUUCACAGUUCCGAAGUUACUAUUGAUACAAGGCUGGUGCUCAUCAUGUCGCCAUUCACCAUCCACAAUAUAUUUGUACUGCAGGUAAAGUAUCAUUAUUAACAAGGACAAAGAUUUCCUCAAAAAAAGGGGGGGGGGGGGGGAAAUUUUGAAAAUUAAAAAAAAAGGGGGGGGGGGGGGGGGGGGGUUAUUGAGGAACAACCCAACAUAAUCAAAACAAAUUCUACAUUUUCGAUAUGAUUGUGUGAGAUUUCUCACGGUUCCGUUUUAUGAAAGGAAUAAGUUCAUCCUCCAGCUGAAAUCACCAUAGUAAUAGCUCCUAAACUAAAUGGGGUUUUAUUUGUUUUCCAGUGUCAACAUUGAUAUUUUGACAUAACGCAAUUUGUAGGUCAAGGAAUUGUUCAUUUCUCCAUAAGAAAACAAGAAUAAAAUUAGUGAAAGAUACAUAGUUUGGUUCUGGUAGAAAAUUUCAUUUCAAGAAUAACUUAUUAACCUAAAAAAGAGUAAAAUGAGACGCAUCCAAAAUUUUAUCCCGUCAUCUUUAGCCACCUGCUCUGGCCCACAAUUAGUGUAUUUUUCAUUGCAAUCUCAUAGUCUAAACAACUAGUUAUAAUCUGAAUUGGCCAAAGCAUAUUUUAGCUCUUUCACACAUUUGAAUCGUCUCACAUGUUUCAAACUUAUUUGAUUAAUGACAGUUAGCAUUUAGUUAAUCGUCUUUUUCUUAUAUUUUUCUUCCAAUUGCCAGGCUCAAUCUUAAAAGUUCUCGUGCAAAAUCUGCACUUUAUCCUCUCUAUCUUGGCCUUUCAAGGGAUAUAUUUGUUAUUUUACCAGCAUCUGAAAUUCGGAAUAUAUUCUUAUAACUUCGUUGCAAUUUCCUUCCAUGAGCUAAAAAAAUCUUUCAAUGUCAUCCAACAAAUACAGAAAGAUAACUAUAGCUAAAAACAUAGGAGGAUAGCAGCUUCAUCCGCUUAGUCAAAUAUAAGCCCAAGUACAACACAAGAUCAUCAUAGGACAACCAUAAUGAUUAGAACAGAGUAAACAACCGAGACCAUAAAUAAGUCUCAUCUUUGCGAGUCAUUAAUCUUUAUAUCUUAGAUGGUCAUAAAAUUAAUGAUAUAAGAAGACGUUGUCAGCAUCCUUUGUUUAUAUAGUAACAUAUUGUUCCCUAAAAUAAAAACAAAAUUCAUCGAAAAUCAGCGUCUUUCUUUAUGAAGAAAAAUCCAAAAAAUAUAUCGCGUUUGAAUAAUCAAAUUUUCGUAGUAGCUUUUAUCAUAUCUAAUCAUGAAAAAGCAAGUCAUUAAUGAAGCACUUAAAACUCUGUAACACAAUGCCACAUUAAAUAACUAACCUGGUGAUAACCGGAAGGCAGGCUACAAAUGGUCUGAAACACGGUAGGGCAUCCUUCAAGAGGAGUCAUAGGCCAUUCGGUCCACCUUUAACAGAUUAACAGUAUAUCCGAUCAACCAUACAAACAAUUUAACACAACCAACAACCAAAAUAUCCUAAAAUGAUGACUAAAGAAGCUGUAAAUUUAACAGGUAGGGAAUAGUUCUUUUUGUAGAGCUAAUUAACUCUCACCCAGUAAACGAGCCAGUGAUAUACACGCUCUUCACACCAUAUGACCACACAAAACGGGCGGGAAUCAACAAUGUGCCACUUUCACGCCCAUAAUUCAUUCCAGAAGGAUACAUUCACUCCAAAAUAUUACUAAAAAUUCCCCCCAAAGAAACUAGAAUUUAGUACGUACGUUCUAAUAAUUUUACAAUACCAAUAAUAAAAUCCAAAAAAAAUCAAAAAUCAAACAAUUAUUAGGAAAGCCAGUACCCAUUCGCUUCUUUAAACUCCCAAACAGCUCAUAACACUUGAAAAUUUAACGCAGAUAUCAUAAAAUUACUACCUAAACUCAAAUCGCCACUAAAAGAAUACAAAUUCUACUUCAAAAUGUGCCUUAAAAUAAACUGAUGCACACCCAAUUUUUUGUUGAAUGUAAAUACACUGACGGUAUUAUAAAGGACUCUGUAAUUGCACGAAAACAAGAACUAACUUUAAUUUCAAAAACUAAGAACAAAAAUUAAAACCUCAAAAUAAGAAAGUACUAACUUUAAUAUUAAACCACAAAACAAAAUAGUACAAUGCAAAGCUCCGAUCUUGAUUCUUCAAUGAUAUAAAUGUAUCUACGAAAAAUUAUGAAAUCCUGACAAAUUGAAACUUUGAUUCUUCAAUGAUAAAAAUUUAUAAGCAGUAAAGAAAAAAAUAUUUUUUGGAAUCAAAGCUUAAAGAGCUAGAUAAAUUUGGAAAAUUGAGAAAAGGGGAAUUUCAUGAGAGAAGAAAAUUAAGAAUGAAACCCUAACCCUAUAAAUUAUUUUUUCUUUUUCCUGAUUUUUAUUGAGGCCAAAAAUUGAGUUAAUUGUUUGAAUACUCACUGAACUUUAGAGGGUGUCACGUUUCACUUACUGAACUUUACUUUGCACCCAAUUACUCGCUGAACUUUGGAGUUAAUUGUUUGAAUACUCACUGAACUUUAAACGGCGUCACGUUUCACUCAUUGAACUUUACUUUGCACCCAAUUACUCACUGAACUUUGUAAACUUGCACUUCAUCACUCAUCGGGUUAAAGAGUUAAUUGUUUGAAUACUUACCGAACUUUACAAGACGUCACAUUUCACCCACUCAACUUUACUUUGCACCCAAUUACUCAUUGAACUUUGUAAAUUUGCACUUCAUCACUUACUAGGAACCAUUUGUUCUGUUAGCCUAUGUGGAUGACGGCUUUAACACGUGGCGGUUAAAUUAGACAAACAUAACAAUGAAUUGCCAAAUCAUAUAUCCCAAAGGACCUUUAUUUAAAUAGGAAAGUGACAUUUAUAUUACAUUCUAACUUAUUGUAAUUAUAUACUUUAUUUAUUAUAACUUGUUUACUACCAAGUAUUAUAUUAACUUUUUCAGCACUAUCAAUUAUUUGAGUACUUUCUCCAGUUACUCCUGUUGUCUUUAUUUUACUAUUUUUAUUCCAUGAUUUUAUUAAGAAAUUUUUAAAAAUUGUUAUAUCACUCUCUGUAUCAAUUAAAGCACAAGUUGUUAUAUUUGUUUCUACUAUAGUAACUUGUAUAUAUACUGUCAAUGGAAAACUAAUUUGAUUAUUCAUCCACUUCCUAUUCUACAUAAUGUAGUUUGUCCUUUAUGAGUUAUAUAUAAUCAUUCUCUUCUUAUACUAUAAUCUUCUAAUCCAUUUAAGAAACUCAUUCCUAAUAAUAUAUGAGGUUCAAUAUCCAUACUUUCAUCUAAAUAACAUGGUACUAAAAGAUCAAUCCCACAUAUUUUUAUUGGUACUUUUACCUUUAAUUCUGUAAUAUAUAAUUGUCCAUCAAAAUUUCUAUAUUCAUAUGGUUCUAUCUUGUAAGUCAUUAAUCCUUCAUUUUAAUUUGCAGCCAUAUGACAUUCACCAGCUCCUGUAUCUGUCAAUAUAUUUGGUCCUUUUAUAUACCUUCUACCGUUGAAAUAUUUUCCUUCUAUUUUCAUAUUUUCAAUAUUGCUAUGAGGUUUUAUUUCUUUUAUACUAUUAGUUUCUCCUAUAUAUUCCUUUUUAUUAGGUAGUCUAAGACUUUUUGAUUUCUUUAUCAACCUUCCAUUAUGAAAUGUUAUUUUAUAAUCUUCUUCUUCUCUUAACUCUGUUAUUUCAGGCUUAUUUUUAGUUAUAUUAAAUUCAUAUUCUUCUGAAAUAAGAUUUAUUUGUUUGUUCGGUUCCACUAUUUUACUAAUAUCUUUACAUUCCUUAUGAAUUUCUAUAUAUGGUUUAUUGGAAUAAAUAUUCCCAUAAUUAGAAUUAGUAAAUGUAUAUAAUGCCCUAUAUUCCAUAGUCAUAAUUUGAUCUCCUGGUUCCAUUAUAUCAUUUCUAUGUAAUUUGAAAUGUAAUCCUAAGACUUCAUUAAAGUUUUUAUCUUUCAAUGAGACACAAUAUUUCGAGUAACAAGUAAAUAUUAGCUUUUGGUAUGCUAAAUUUCCUUCUAUAGUUCUUAAAUGACCAUCUUCAAGAUUUAUAAUUCUUCCAUCAUGUAAACUUACGGUUAAUGGUGAAUCUAUUCCUUCUCUAAAUAAGGAUUUAAACAUUAUUUGUAUUCCUGCUAAAUAAACAUAUUGGAUCUUUUCACUAUGCUUUUUACUUAUUUUUUAUAAUAAUUCUGAUACUGUAUUUUUUGUUAAAAGGUUUAUUUUAUGUGUUCCUUGAAUAGUUCUAACAUCUAUGAUUUUUUCAAUCUUAUGGUAUUCAUUUAUUGCUAUUCUUUCUCUUUUCCAUAUUCUAUCUAGAAUUUCUCAUUUCCUAUUUUUAAAUCUAAGGAUAACUUUUGUAUCUUCCUAAAUUUAUUAUUAUCAAAAGUUACUUUUAAUCCAUAACCUUCUAUUCCCUCAUAUUCUUGGAUUUCUAUAUUAUUAUUUUCUAUUUCUUCAAUUUCUUUAUUCAGAUUCUGAUCCAUAAUCUUCUGAAUCUACUUCACUUAUAAAUAUCUCUUGAUUAUUAUAAUUUUCAAUAUCAGAUAUUUCACUUAAUUCACUUUCUAUUUCAAAAUAAUCCUUUUGUAAUAUUCUCACUUUUUUCUUUGUGCAAUCCGGGCUUAUAUGACCUAUUUCUCCACAAUUCCAACACUUACAUUAUUUUUUAUUUUUCUUAUAAGGUUUAUUUUUCUGUAUAUCAUUUUUCCUUUUAUAAUAUUUCCUUUCAGGUUUUAUGUAUUUUUUCUUAAAGUUCCUAUAUUUUUUAAACUUUCUAUUUUUAUACUUUCUUUUAUUUAUUUUUUCUGAAUUACAUCUCCGUCUUGUGGGUUUUUCCAUAUCUUCACAACAUAUUCUAGUUAAUUUUCAUGAUUUUUUCAAUAAUUGUCUUUGUUGACAUAUAUAUACAAAUCUUUCAAACAAGAAUUUUAUUUUUGAUCCUAGUGUUCUAUGUAUUCCUAUAUUUUCUUUAAUAUAUUUUUCAAAUUCUAUUUUAAAAUAUAUUCCCCAUGAACUUGGUAAUUUAUUAUAAUACAUAUCUUGAUAUACUUCUUGAUUCUCAUUACUAUAAAAUUGAGUAUAAUAGUAUUCCUUGAAUUCACAAGUAUAUUCUUUAAUUUUACACAUAUCACAAAUUGUUAGAUUAAUUAACUUAACUCUUGCAUUAUCUUUUUCUCGUAUUGCUUCUUUUUCAUAAUUUCUUAACCAAUUUUCUCCUAAAAAUUCAUCUGCAAUAUAUUCUACCAAUCUUUCUAUUCCUAGUUUAUCUGACUUUAUUAUUUCUAUUUGUACAUUUCUUUUUAUUAAUGAUUUUGUAUCACUACUAAUUCCUUCCCACCAAUUUCUAACAUUUCCUUCAAAAGAUGCAAUUAAAAAAUCUAUUCUCCUUUCAGUAUUUUCCCAUGUAUCAUCUUUAUUAUAUAAAAAGAAUAAUAUCAUUGAGUCUGCCCAAGUUAUUAAGGCUCUCUUAGUAUCUAUUUUGCAAUCUAAGUCUAAUUUUGUUCCUCCAUGGUUAACAGGUUUAUUAUAAUUAUUAUUUAAUUCAAAUUUAUUACUGUAUUUAUUUCCUUUUGACGGUUGUUUAUCUCUUAUUUUAUCAUAAAAUUGCCUAUAUGGUUUAUUAUACAUUAGAGCAUAGCUUUCAUCUGGAUCUAUUGAUUCUUGUUUAGAGGUUCCUACGGGAUUGGUCCUCCUCCAGUAUUCAUUAAGAUUUGGUAUUCAUCAUCUAUACUUUCUAAACUUAAAUGAUCAAAAUUAUCUAUAAGUAGAUCUAAUUCUUCAUUCAUCUUCUUUGUCUUGAUUUUCUUCAAUUUUUUGUUUACCUAAUAUUUUUUCUCUAGAGUCCUCUUCUUCUAUUAUUUUAGGUAAUAUUUUUUUCUAAACUCACCGUCCAUGCUUCCUGUUUCUAUUAUUAUAUUUUUCCUUUCAAUAUGUUUUUUCCCUAUUCUGGUUAUUUCUUUUUCUAUAAAUUUUUUAUCUACUCUAUUAUUUUUUUCUUCAUUUUCUUUUAAUUUUCUGACUUCGAGUUUUAAUAUAUUUAUAUAAUUUAUAACUUCUUUUACUUCAUUCUUAAUUUCUUGUACAUCAUUUAUUAAUGUUCUUAUUAAAUGUUUUAAUUCUUCCAUAUGUUCACUGUUUGACAUUUUAUCUAUUUUUUGAUUGACAAUAAUAAAAUACUACAUACUCAGCAUUUUUACACUCUUUUAUCAUUUUAUCAUAUUUUUAUUUUAUAAUUUCAGGAUUUGAUAUCUCUUUUAAUUUUUCAUAAUACCUUGCUUUUUCUUUAUACCUUUCUUGUUUUAAUUUUAAUAUUUGCUUUUCUUGAGUUUUAGUUUUUUCUCCAAGUAUUAAUAAUUCAUCUAAAAUUUUAUUAUUUAUCAAUCUUAUUCUUUCUAACUUCCUUUCUAAAAUGUUUUUAGUUUUUUCCAUUAUAUUCUUAUGACGAUUCAUAUAUUUUUCUAUGAUACAACUCAUUUUCAAAUAUUUCGCAAAUUAUUUCAUAUGUACGUCUAUCUUUGAUAAAUCCUACAAUUAAUUUAUGUAAUAUUUGUUCCUUUAUUUCUCUAGGUAAAUUCCUAGUUAUAUAUAAUGUUAUUAUUUUUAAUUUAUUAGGGAUGGGGUUGUAAAAUAUAUAACAUCCUUUUUCUUCAAUACAUUGAUAAUAAUUAUUUAUUUUUAUGAUUUCCAUAGUAAUUUCAGAUUAUUAUAAAAUCUAUUUCCCUCUUAUAUAUAUAUAUAUAUAUAUGCUUAUAUUCUUCAAAUAAUAUCUUUUUAAUUAUUUUCUCUUUUAGUUCUAAAGGUAGAUUUUUAAUUACUCUAAAAAUUUCUAAAACUUCGUUUAUAUCUUUACUAUAUGUUCCAACUAUAUUAUCUUCUUCUAUAUAGCCUUCUAUGUCAUAACUAUAUUUUACUUGGUACCUUAUUCUAUUUUUAUAAGUUUCAAUAAUUUCUAAAAUCAUAGUCUUUUAGGUAAUUUUAUUUUUUAUAUAUUUUCUCAUGAUCUCUAUGACUCUGAUACCAACUGUACAGGUGCUACUAUGAGCGAACAAAAAUAUAAUAAUCUAAAAAUCUAAUAAUCAUGAAUCUAAAAAUCUAAAAUUUUUAUAUUCCAAAAACUCUUUUAUUUUUACUAUUAGGUGUAAAUAAAAUUUUAAGAUAAAGACUAAUUUUUUGUAUGUUUCUGAUAAUCUAUUUUUUAUUAGCCUUCUUAUAAAUUUUUAAGUAAUUCUUCAAAUUCUAAUUAUGUCUGAGAAUUUAUAAUAUCAAUAUCUGUUCUAAAAGGUAUAUCAUAUUUUGAAAUAUUUUUCUUACUUUUUCCAAUUUAUAUAGGAUAUCUUGUAUAUCUUUUAUAAUUAUUGUUCUUACAAUUCCUUUAGCAAAAUUUUCUAAUAAGUUUUCUUUGAAACAUUUUAAUAUUUCUUGUGAUGCAUAUAAUUGUUCUUGAUAUCCUAUCUUAUCAAUUUCUUUUUCAAACUUAAUUUCUUUUUUUAUUUUUAACAACCCUUUUUAUAUUAUAUGGUCCUCUCUUAUAUUUGGGUUUUUCUAUUUUAUAAUUAUUCAUUAAUAAUUCUCACAAAUUUUUAGAAAAAUUAUUUGUUUAAGGGUGUUUUAGGUAGUUCAAAAUAUUUAGAAAAGUCAAAGGCUAUUUUGGAAAAUCCUUCCUUUAUUUAGGUCAAUUUGAGGUAUUUUCCAUGAAAAUUUCCUGAAAUGUCCCCUCCUUAACUUUGAAAUAAAUGCAAAAAAAGGUAAAAAUGUAAAAACAUUUUUUAUGGACAUAAUGCACUUGCAUUUUUACUAUGUAACAAUGCAAAUUCUUCCACAAAUGAUGAUGAAAAUGGGUGCUGGUAGUCGCAGUGUGGGAGCUCGAUUUCUGAAAUAUGGAAUUGGAUUCCUUGUAGGCCCAGUGUACGAACAACUCUUGUUCCUUGGCCUGUUGGGGCACAUCCUGCAAUUUACCUCCCUUACAAAACUCUAGGCGUGAGCGAUGGGAUCUUCAAGGGUGAGGUUUAACCUUUUUGAAAAUGGCAACUAAAUGCAGUAUAAAAAAAUUUAGUUUUUUUAAUAUUGUCCUGGGUCUACAAAAUAGUCCAUUCAAUUUAGAAAGAAAAAAAAUACUAGGAAACUUACAUUUAUAAAUAAGUUUCUAGCUAUUAAGCUCCUUGACAACCAUUAUUUGAAAAAAAAAAAACGAAAUUUACACAUACUCAUUUUCAAUCACCCAUUCAUACAAUAAAAUAUUUUGUAUGUAAAUCCAUAAUUUUUCCUACUUGUAAUCAUACAUUCUCCUAAAAAUUACUAUUCAAGAGAUGAUUUUUUUUUUCCAAUUUGGUUGUCAACAGGGGCUAAACAAUGAAGUAAUAAAAACGAUCGAACAUAAAUUAUACUGUUUCGCUUGAACUGUACUAUUCUUUCUCAAGAUGUUUAAAGUAAGGGAACAUGUGGGCACACACUUGAGCAGGAUAACAUGUUGACAAAUACUAGACACGAUUGCCCCCCAGGGCACAUCCGAGUUGGUGGAUCAAUCACUUUGGCGGGCUCGCAACCUCAGCGUGGAGAGUUCGAUUCCUGGUGGGAACCUGUGAUCCAACAAAUGGGCAACUUUGUUGGCAGAUCAAUCACUAUGGAGGAAAGCUCUCUUGAGGCCAGGAGUAAAAAUC
rnacentral:lncRNA from 1 species